rnacentral:rRNA from 1 species
UGGGGAAUAUUGCACAAUGGGGGAAACCCUGAUGCAGCGACGCCGCGUGGAGGAAGAAGGUCUUCGGAUUGUAAACUCCUGUUGUUGAGGAAGAUAAUGACGGUACUCAACAAGGAAGUGACGGCUAACUACGUGCCAGCAGCCGCGGUAAAACGUAGGUCACAAGCGUUGUCCGGAAUUACUGGGUGUAAAGGGAGCGCAGGCGGGAAGACAAGUUGGAAGUGAAAUCUAUGGGCUCAACCCAUAAACUGCUUUCAAAACUGUUUUUCUUGAGUAGUGCAGAGGUAGGCGGAAUUCCCGGUGUAGCGGUGGAAUGCGUAGAUAUCGGGAGGAACACCAGUGGCGAAGGCGGCCUACUGGGCACCAACUGACGCUGAGGCUCGAAAGUGUGGGUAGCAAACAGGAUUAGAUACCCUGGUAGUCCACACUGUAAACGAUGAUUACUAGGUGUGGGGGGACUGACCCCUUCCGUGCCGCAGCAAACGCAAUAAGUAAUCCACCUGGGGAGUACGACCGCAAGGUUGAAACUCAAAGGAAUUGACGGGGGCCCGCACAAGCAGUGGAGUAUGUGGUUUAAUUCGACGCAACGCGAAGAACCUUACCAAGUCUUGACAUCCUGCGACGGACAUAGAAAUAUGUUUUUCCUUCGGGACGCAGAGACAGGUGGUGCAUGGUUGUCGUCAGCUCGUGUCGUGAGAUGUUGGGUUAAGUCCCGCAACGAGCGCAACCCUUACUGUCAGUUACUACGCAAGAGGACUCUGGCAGGACUGCCGUUGACAAAACGGAGGAAGGUGGGGAUGACGUCAAAUCAUCAUGCCCUUUAUGACUUGGGCUACACACGUACUACAAUGGCGUUAAACAAAGAGAAGCAAGACCGCGAGGUGGAGCAAAACUCAGAAACAACGUCCCAGUUCGGACUGCAGGCUGCAACUCGCCUGCACGAAGUCGGAAUUGCUAGUAAUCGUGGAUCAGCAUGCCACGGUGAAUACGUUCCC